rnacentral:rRNA from 1 species
UCCUACGGGAGGCAGCAGCAGGGGAUAUUGCGCAAUGGGCGAAAGCCUGACGCAGCAACGCCGCGUGGGGGAAGACGGCUUUCGAGUUGUAAACCCCUUUUCUUGGGGAAGAGGAAGGACGGUACCCAAGGAAUAAGCCUCGGCUAACUACGUGCCAGCAGCCGCGGUAAGACGUGGGAGGCGAGCGUUAUCCGGAAUUAUUGGGCGUAAAGGGCGUGUAGGCGGCUCUUUAAGUUCUUGGUGAAAUCUCCUGGCUCAACUGGGAGGGUGCUAGGAAGACUGGAGGGCUUGAGGGCAGCAGAGGGGGGUGGAAUUCCCGGUGUAGUGGUGAUAUGCGUAGAUAUCGGGAGGAACACCAGUGGCGAAGGCGGCCCCCUGGGCUGUACCUGACGCUGAGGCGCGAAAGCGUGGGGAGCAAACAGGAUUAGAUACCCGAGUAGUCCAAGCCG